AGGUGGUCUGUGCGAUACCCCCCGCGCCGCCCCAGCGCCUGCUUUGGUGGUGGAACUCCUGCAUCACAAGGAGAUGUAUUUAACGCCGUUAAAACUAAUUGCUCGCUUUGCUGCAGAGUAAAGUGACUCCGGGGAGAGAUUUCAUGUAGGAAAGAUCUGAAGCCUUUGGCCCAAAUGGGAUAACCAUGCCAAAAGAACUUGGCCCCAACGUGCAAAACACGGGAAAACUGCGGAAAUUCAUCACCAGUUUAUUAAAGGGCCUAAGGGUGAGUUUGUAUGUGCUCUCUGCGUGUGUGUGUUUAUGGCAGGAGAAAGAAGAUUAAGAGACCUGAACAGCUGCAGGUAAGGACAAAAAAUUCUUAAUAAGCAAGAACUGAUUUCUACUCACAGCACUUAGCUCCAGCUUCAGGCUGUGGUGUAAUUCAUGUGGCUCGGGGGGGGG